rnacentral:rRNA from 1 species
UACGUAGGGGGCAAGCGUUGUCCGGAAUUAUUGGGCGUAAAGAGCUCGUAGGCGGUCUGUUGCGUCCGCUGUGAAAACUCGGGGCUUAACCCCGAGCCUGCAGUGGAUACGGGCAGACUAGAGGUAGGUAGGGGAGAAUGGAAUUCCCGGUGUAGCGGUGAAAUGCGUAGAUAUCUGGAGGAACACCGGUGGCGAAGGCGGCAUCCUGGACCGGUAUUGACGCUGAGGCGCGAAAGCCAGGGGAGCAAACGGG